GCGGCAGCCAGAGCUGGGGCAGGAAAGUAGCUGGGACAGGAGAAGAUGUGGGCUGGGGGGGAAGGCAACAGGCAGAAAGCAGUGAUGGGGGCUGGGGCAGGGGAAGCCCGAGCUGCCUGCCCCAGGGUGGCAGCGCCUGCCCUUCACAGGAAGCAGAUGGGUCCCCUUACCGCGCCAGAGGGAGCAGGCUCAUCAAGACUUUGUGUCUCAGGAGGUCCCGAUGCAGCUCCUGGAAAUGACGGAACUUCUUCUUGGUCGUCCAGGCCUGGAUCCCGCCGUCCCUCCAGAUCCAAAUCCCAGCCCGGCCCCCAUCGUGGCCGAGGGAGGGGUACCGUCCUUGGGGUCUGGCGCCUACUUCAGCCGGAAAGCCCGACUCUCCUUCCGCCACCAGCUGCACGACCUCGCAUCCGCCAACGACUCCACCAUUUGACGUCCGCCAACGACUCCACCAUGUGACGGGGACGACCAGGGGCUGAACUUCCAGGAAGCUUGGCAACCUUCCCUCCCCAGUCUUCUCUGUGAUCCAUCUGGACCCCGUCCCUCAUGACCUUGUUGUCAAAUACACUCAGAGUUGCCCA